AUUGAACGCUGGCGGCAUGCCUUACACAUGCAAGUCGAACGGCAGCAUGGGUGCUUGCACCUGGUGGCGAGUGGCGAACGGGUUAGUAAUACAUCGGAACGUACCUUAUCGUGGGGGAUAACGCAGCGAAAGUUGCGCAAAUACUGUAUACGCCCGGAGGGGGAAAGCGGGGGACAGUAAGGCCUCGCGCGAUUAGAGCGGCCGAGGUCUUAUUAGCUUGUUGGUGAGGAAAAAGCCCAACACGGCGAUGAUCAGUAGCUGGUCUGAGAGGACGAUCAGCAACACUGGGACUGAGACACGGCCCAGACUCCUACGGGAGGCAGCAGUGGGGAAUUUUGGACAAUGGGGGCAACCCUGAUCCAGCAAUGCCGCGUGAGUGAAGAAGGCCUUCGGGUUGUAAAGCUCUUUUGUCAGGGGAGAAACAGCAGCUCUAACACAGUCUGCGAAUGACGGUACCUGAAGAAUAAGCACCGGCUAACUACGUGCCAGCCGCCGCCGUAA
rnacentral:rRNA from 1 species